AGGAGAGAGGGUAGGGCGGCUGUCGCAGGCUUCCUGGCACAGACCCAAGCCGGCAGAGAGGGAGGACUCAUUCAUCCAGGAGUGAGACUGUCGAGCAGGCUGGCCCUGCCCAGGCCUGGCCACCAGGCUGGGAGGGGAUUUCCUCAGGCUCCCUCCCCCUUGGAAACCUGUGGGUGAUUUUACCGAGUCUGACAGGCAGCCCUGUGUGUCCAGGACAGGGGGAGUGCAGGAUCCCAGCACCUCAGCCUCGGCCUCCCUCCCCAGGUGGAGGGGGGACCCAGGACAAUGGCUGUCGCUCAUGAUGUGGAGAUGGAGAACGUGAAUCUGAAUAUGGAGAGAGAGGGGAAAGAAGAGCUAGAAGAGAAAAUGAGAGAGGAUGAGGAAUGUAAAGAUCCCCCCAAGAGCAGAAAGGUCCACAGAAUUGUCUCAAAGUGGAUGCUUCCUGAACCAGCUCGGAGAACAUACCUGGAGAGAGCCAACUGUCUCCCGCCGCCCCUGUUCAUCAUCUCUAUCAGCCUGGCCGAGCUGGCUGUGUUUAUUUACUAUGCUGUGUGGAAGCCUCAGAAACAGUGGAUCACCUUGGACACAGGGAUCUUGGAAAGCCCCUUUACCUAUCGUCCCGAAAAGAGGGAGGAAGCCUGGAGGUUUAUCUCCUACAUGCUCGUCCA